GACCAGCUCACAUGAUGACAAUCUGCCAAUAAUGAAGCCACCAGGGAAAUGGAGUUUAGAUGAAACAAAUGAAGAUGCUUGCAGUGCACCAGACAGGCAUGGAGAGUGACAAUGAUCCUGUGAACUGUGUAUAUCUGGUGCUUUGGAGAAUAGUUUGACUCCCUCUCCAGCUGUACCCACAAAACAUUCUCAUCAAUGCAAAGAUAUCAAGCUUUUUCCGCCGGCUGCUUUUCCAUGCUACACAGCAGUAAGAAAAGUGCAGGACAACAGAUAAGUCAUGUUAUGGUUUACUGGAUACAAAUUUCAACAUUUUGCCAAAAGAAGUUUGCAAUUCCCACCAGGCUACAUGCAAUUAAUGUCAAAGCCCACUGAGAUGCAGUGAUUCCAAAAGGCAGGUUUCAUGUUGAAAGUGGUGACCAAAAAUUCAAAUUAUGAAAAUCGUUAGGGAAAAUCUUCAGAAUUAGCCCUAGGAUUAAUGAACGUUUAAAAAACAGCAGCAAUACAACAUGCCAAAAAAAAAAAAAAGGUGCAGAGUUUUAUGGGUUUUUAUGUUGUGGAGUUUUAAUGUUGUAAGCUGUCCAAGUCACCUGUGUGUGAGUUGGGCAGCCAUAUAAAUUUGAUUAAUAAAUACAUAAAAAUAAAAAGUGCCCAACUAAAGAUGGUUUUGGGGUGUACCAUCCUGGAAUGGUGUACGACUGUCAUACAAAUGAAAAUGUGAUCUGCUAUGAAUAAAAACAGUUUCGUUAAUCGAACAUUAAAAGACAAAUAGAUUUACUUUGUAUGUACAUAGCAGAAAAUGGGAAAAGUUAAGCCGUGCUCUCUACUCAAAGAUUAAGCUGGCUAACAACCCCAUCUUGGGAAUUAGGCAGUGUAUAAAUAAAUAACAACAAUAAAUAAUGUGUGGCCUACUGCCACUCAGAACUAAACAGUUUUAUAGCCACAGAAUUAUUUUGCAAUAUAAUAUUUGUUUGUUAGUUUGAUUUUUAUGUAGCAGGUUAAAAAAGAUUAUGUGGGUAUUUUAUACCCAUAAAAUACCCACACAAUCAUAUAAAUGUCUGAAUUUCACAGUAAACGUAUUACUAUUUUACAUAAUGAAUCAUUAAAAAAAGCAGGCAAAAAUAUUCCAUUUAAAAAUAGUUAUGUAUGUAUGCACAGAGCAAUGAUUUCAUCAAAAUAAGUCUCUCAUUUUGUGUAGAGAUGUCUUUAUCGUUUAAUUCACAGGCUAUGCAUUUUAUAGAGCACAUCCAAGCUCUACAUUUAAGCCACUUAGGUUAAUAAAUCUCAUCCCUGUUCACUGGCUUUUAAAAGCUGUUGCCUCUUUUUUUGGCAAUAUGUUUAAUUCCAUACAAAUGUCUCCAUUCUAUAGCAAUCUGAAUUUACAUGUUAAAAAUUAUUUAAAAAUUAUACUAGUUUAGAUCCAGCAGAAGUUAUUUAUGGUUUAGUCUCUUUAAAAUAUCAACAAGUUACUCAAUAGUGAUUUACUUCUCACUAUUUUUAAUAUGUCUGACUUCCUUCUCAGUGAAACCCCUUAUAUUCUAUAAGACAUGAAUAUUUUGUUUGUUUAGUUGUUUAUCAAGUUUAUAUGGCUCUCCAUAUCACAAUAAAUGACUCGGCAUGUACAACAAUAGCAACAACAACAAAAGUGUAAAACAAUAAACAUGCCAAACACAGUCAUAUUAAAUAAAACACUCAUAAGAUAUACACUUCAGUUAUCAGUAUAUACUUAUCUUGAAUAUUCAGGAUAUCAAUAUACACUUGAUGCCUUCAAGAAAUACAUAUUAUUAACAAAAAUAUUUAUUUUGCGGAUUUUUUUUGAGGGAGGAGUCUUAGUUUAUCUUUCUAUUCAAAGUCACUUAGGCAUCUAAUAAGAACCCACAAAAUUGAGUUAGUCCUCCCGAUGUUUAAUCAGAAAAAAAAAGUCUUGUUGGUCUCCGAGAGCACAAUUCUGAAAUUAGGCAUUUCUGGAGCAACGCUUCAAACUCAGCCGAAUGAAAAUUGUAUACUAAAAAUUAUAAAGGUUUUUAGAAAAUAGAAAACGAUGAAAUUGUCUCCUUUGGAAGUGAAUUUCCUGACUGCGGGGCAACCUCCAAAAGAAGAGUUUCUGUAGAAAGCUUCCGCUGUUGCAAAAACUUAACCUUUCCACAGAGGGAACAAAGACAAUGACUUCCAACUAAAAUUUUAAAAAAAACUAGGGGGUGAAAAAUGUUCUCGUGUGAGAGAAAAGAUCCUUAAGAAUUUGUGCUCUCAGCCCAUACAGGGUAAAAUGCAUGCAAGUUUAGUUUAGCACCGUUUUGUUAACCACAGCUGGUUUCAAAAAAAGACAAAGAUUCCAAGGAGCUGAUAAAAGUGUAUCUUUCAUAUAAAAGUUCUGCAACAUUUCAGAAUCACUUCAAUUAAAAGGCUGAGGGUGGAGGAGCCAGACUCCUUAAAGGUAGCAAAUUCUCCCUUUCCUUCUUGCGUAUCUCUUAUUGAAAGUGUCUAAUUAAUGUUUCUUUGCAUUUUAGAGCUUGAUAAGUUUUAUUAUAGUAAGUGUCAUAGAACUUUAUGGACAAGUGAAAAAUUGCACAGGAUAUUACACCAAAGCUGCUCCAAGUUCAUUAAAAUACAUAAUUCCACAAGCAAUGUUUAUUUUUAAGAUCAAGCUGAGUUAUCAAGCUCAUAUCAGGAGAGUGGGCUUUCUGAAAUCAUGAAGAUUAAUAGAAAUUUAAAUUAAAACGCAUCUCGGAAUAAAGAAAACCUUUUUGUUCCUUCACUGAAAGAACUACAAAAGUAAACUACAACAGAGGAAAAAGCCUUUUAAA